UACGGGGGGGGCAAGCGUUGUUCGGAAUUACUGGGCGUAAAGGGCUCGUAGGCGGCCAACUAAGUCAGACGUGAAAUCCCUCAGCUUAACUGGGGAACUGCGUCUGAUACUGGAUGGCUUGGAUUCGGGAGAGGGAUGCGGAAUUCCAGGUGUAGCGGUGAAAUGCGUAGAUAUCUGGAGGAACACCGGUGGCGAAGGCGGCAUCCUGGACCGACAUUGACGCUGAGGAGCGAAAGCCAGGGGAG
rnacentral:rRNA from 1 species